rnacentral:lncRNA from 1 species
AUCUGUCAAUUCUAUCUCCUUAGUAAGAUGACCAAGUCACCAUUUACUGAAAAGAUGAAUGAGCCAAUGAUGUUCUAAGUCUAAUACAUACUGAUGUAUUGGAUUUACUAACAUAUUUAUCAUAAAUUUGAAUUAUUUAAAAUAUUCAAAUAAUUUCUUAAUAAGGUAGAGAAAUAAACUAAGAAGAGCAUUGAAACUCU